GAUGAACGCUGGCGGCGUGCCUAAUACAUGCAAGUCGAGCGAACGGACGAGAAGCUUGCUUCUCUGAUGUUAGCGGCGGACGGGUGAGUAACACGUGGAUAACCUACCUAUAAGACUGGGAUAACUUCGGGAAACCGGAGCUAAUACCGGAUAAUAUUUUGAACCGCAUGGUUCAAAAGUGAAAGACGGUCUUGCUGUCACUUAUAGAUGGAUCCGCGCUGCAUUAGCUAGUUGGUAAGGUAACGGCUUACCAAGGCAACGAUGCAUAGCCGACCUGAGAGGGUGAUCGGCCACACUGGAACUGAGACACGGUCCAGACUCCUACGGGAGACAGCAGUAGGGAAUCUUCCGCAAUGGGCGAAAGCCUGACGGAGCAACGCCGCGUGAGUGAUGAAGGUCUUCGGAUCGUAAAACUCUGUUAUUAGGGAAGAACAUAUGUGUAAGUAACUGUGCACAUCUUGACGGUACCUAAUCAGAAAGCCACGGCUAACUACGUGCCAGCAGCCGCGGUAAUACGUAGGUGGCAAGCGUUAUCCGGAAUUAUUGGGCGUAAAGCGCGCGUAGGCGGUUUUUUAAGUCUGAUGUGAAAGCCCACGGCUCAACCGUGGAGGGUCAUUGGAAACUGGAAAACUUGAGUGCAGAAGAGGAAAGUGGAAUUCCAUGUGUAGCGGUGAAAUGCGCAGAGAUAUGGAGGAACACCAGUGGCGAAGGCGACUUUCUGGUCUGUAACUGACGCUGAUGUGCGAAAGCGUGGGGAUCAAACAGGAUUAGAUACCCUGGUAGUCCACGCCGUAAACGAUGAGUGCUAAGUGUUAGGGGGUUUCCGCCCCUUAGUGCUGCAGCUAACGCAUUAAGCACUCCGCCUGGGGAGUACGACCGCAAGGUUGAAACUCAAAGGAAUUGACGGGGACCCGCACAAGCGGUGGAGCAUGUGGUUUAAUUCGAAGCAACGCGAAGAACCUUACCAAAUCUUGACAUCCUCUGACACCUCUAGAGAUAGAGCCUUCCCCUUCGGGGGACAAAGUGACAGGUGGUGCAUGGUUGUCGUCAGCUCGUGUCGUGAGAUGUUGGGUUAAGUCCCGCAACGAGCGCAACCCUUAAGCUUAGUUGCCAUCAUUAAGUUGGGCACUCUAAGUUGACUGCCGGUGACAAACCGGAGGAAGGUGGGGAUGACGUCAAAUCAUCAUGCCCCUUAUGAUUUGGGCUACACACGUGCUACAAUGGACAAUACAAAGGGCAGCGAAACCGCGAGGUCAAGCAAAUCCCAUAAAGUUGUUCUCAGUUCGGAUUGUAGUCUGCAACUCGACUACAUGAAGCUGGAAUCGCUAGUAAUCGUAGAUCAGCAUGCUACGGUGAAUACGUUCCCGGGUCU
rnacentral:rRNA from 1 species